AGCAGAGAAUUAAUGUCAAGUCAGCUUGGUUUGAAAGGUCAAAGGAAAUUGUAUUUUAGGAGGCAGUAAAAAAGCUGUCUAUUUGCACGGCUUUAAAUAAAAAUUUUGUGUAUGGGAAAAUUCUUACAGAAACCCUCACUAAGGGGGACCUAGUUUUGAUUCAAGUGUUGGCAUGAACUGUUGCUAACUCUCCUUAAGAGAGUUCUGCAACACCCUCAAUUGCUCUUGAAGGAAGAGUUUGCAGAGAGAGAAGGUAGAGGAGUGAUCACUGUCCCCAUUGAUAUACUGCCAUGUGGUGAAAUAGAUCAACCCAUCUGGAAACUGGACACCAAGAAAUAUGUACCAGCCUUUAACACAGGUGGAUCUUCUAAAGUGGAGGUUUCGUUACUCUGUCCCCACCAUAAUGUGAUUUUUUUCUGAAUUCCACUGCAUGCUAAAGCAGAGAGAUCCUGGUUUGGGCACAGAUCCUCCAUCUUCCAGAUCAUGGUGAUCCUAGUGACACGCUCGGAGGUUCACAUCCGUGUAGGUCAUGUUACUGGAGCUGUAGAGGUUGAUCAUAGUACGGCAUUCAGAAUAAAAUCAUUUUGGUGAGGAGGUAUUUUACCUCCUCUCAGCUGG